rnacentral:rRNA from 1 species
UUAAGCGACUAAGCGUACACGGUGGAUGCCCUGGCAGUCAGAGGCGAUGAAGGACGUGCUAAUCUGCGAAAAGCGUCGGUAAGGUGAUAUGAACCGUUAUAACCGGCGAUGUCCGAAUGGGGAAACCCAGUGCAAUUCGUUGCACUAUCGUUAACUGAAUACAUAGGUUAACGAGGCGAACCGGGGGAACUGAAACAUCUAAGUACCCCGAGGAAAAGAAAUCAACCGAGAUUCCCCCAGUAGCGGCGAGCGAACGGGGAGCAGCCCAGAGUCUGAAUCAGCUUGUGUGUUAGUGGAACGGUCUGGAAAGUCCGACGGUACAGGGUGAUAGUCCCGUACACCAAAAUGCACAGGCUGUGAACUCGAAGAGUAGGGCGGGACACGUGGUAUCCUGUCUGAAUAUGGGGGGACCAUCCUCCAAGGCUAAAUACUCCUGACUGACCGAUAGUGAACCAGUACCGUGAGGGAAAGGCGAAAAGAACCCCGGCGAGGGGAGUGAAAAAGAACCUGAAACCGUGUACGUACAAGCAGUGGGAGCACCUUCGGGUGUGACUGCGUACCUUUUGUAUAAUGGGUCAGCGACUUAUAUUCUGUAGCAAGGUUAACCGUAUAGGGGAGCCGCAGGGAAACCGAGUCUUAACUGGGCGUUAAGUUGCAGGGUAUAGACCCGAAACCCGGUGAUCUAGCCAUGGGCAGGUUGAAGGUUGGGUAACACUAACUGGAGGACCGAACCGACUAAUGUUGAAAAAUUAGCGGAUGACUUGUGGCUGGGGGUGAAAGGCCAAUCAAACCGGGAGAUAGCUGGUUCUCCCCGAAAGCUAUUUAGGUAGCGCCUCGUGAAUUCAUCUUCGGGGGUAGAGCACUGUUUCGGCUAGGGGGUCAUCCCGACUUACCAACCCGAUGCAAACUACGAAUACCGAAGAAUGUUAUCACGGGAGACACACGGCGGGUGCUAACGUCCGUCGUGAAGAGGGAAACAACCCAGACCGCCAGCUAAGGUCCCAAAGUCAUGGUUAAGUGGGAAACGAUGUGGGAAGGCACAGACAGCCAGGAUGUUGGCUUAGAAGCAGCCAUCAUUUAAAGAAAGCGUAAUAGCUCACUGGUCGAGUCGGCCUGCGCGGAAGAUGUAACGGGGCUAAACCAUGCACCGAAGCUGCGGCAGCGACACUAUGUGUUGUUGGGUAGGGGAGCGUUCUGUAAGCCUGCGAAGGUGUGCUGUGAGGCAUGCUGGAGGUAUCAGAAGUGCGAAUGCUGACAUAAGUAACGAUAAAGCGGGUGAAAAGCCCGCUCGCCGGAAGACCAAGGGUUCCUGUCCAACGUUAAUCGGGGCAGGGUGAGUCGACCCCUAAGGCGAGGCCGAAAGGCGUAGUCGAUGGGAAACAGGUUAAUAUUCCUGUACUUGGUGUUACUGCGAAGGGGGGACGGAGAAGGCUAUGUUAGCCGGGCGACGGUUGUCCCGGUUUAAGCAUGUAGGCUGAUUGUCCAGGCAAAUCCGGAUAAUCAAGGCUGAGGUGUGAUGACGAGGCACUACGGUGCUGAAGUAACAAAUGCCCUGCUUCCAGGAAAAGCCUCUAAGCAUCAGGUAACAUCAAAUCGUACCCCAAACCGACACAGGUGGUCAGGUAGAGAAUACCAAGGCGCUUGAGAGAACUCGGGUGAAGGAACUAGGCAAAAUGGUGCCGUAACUUCGGGAGAAGGCACGCUGGUGUGUAGGUGAAGCCCCUGCGGGUGGAGCUGAGACCAGUCGAAGAUACCAGCUGGCUGCAACUGUUUAUUAAAAACACAGCACUGUGCAAACACGAAAGUGGACGUAUACGGUGUGACGCCUGCCCGGUGCCGGAAGGUUAAUUGAUGGGGUUAUCCGUAAGGAGAAGCUCUUGAUCGAAGCCCCGGUAAACGGCGGCCGUAACUAUAACGGUCCUAAGGUAGCGAAAUUCCUUGUCGGGUAAGUUCCGACCUGCACGAAUGGCGUAAUGAUGGCCAGGCUGUCUCCACCCGAGACUCAGUGAAAUUGAACUCGCUGUGAAGAUGCAGUGUACCCGCGGCAAGACGGAAAGACCCCGUGAACCUUUACUAUAGCUUGACACUGAACAUUGAGCCUUGAUGUGUAGGAUAGGUGGGAGGCUUUGAAGCGUGGACGCCAGUCUGCGUGGAGCCAACCUUGAAAUACCACCCUUUAAUGUUUGAUGUUCUAACGUUGGCCCCUUACCGGGGUUGCGGACAGUGUCUGGUGGGUAGUUUGACUGGGGCGGUCUCCUCCCAAAGCGUAACGGAGGAGCACGAAGGUUAGCUAAUCCUGGUCGGACAUCAGGAGGUUAGUGCAAUGGCAUAAGCUAGCUUGACUGCGAGCGUGACGGCGCGAGCAGGUGCGAAAGCAGGUCAUAGUGAUCCGGUGGUUCUGAAUGGAAGGGCCAUCGCUCAACGGAUAAAAGGUACUCCGGGGAUAACAGGCUGAUACCGCCCAAGAGUUCAUAUCGACGGCGGUGUUUGGCACCUCGAUGUCGGCUCAUCACAUCCUGGGGCUGAAGUAGGUCCCAAGGGUAUGGCUGUUCGCCAUUUAAAGUGGUACGCGAGCUGGGUUUAGAACGUCGUGAGACAGUUCGGUCCCUAUCUGCCGUGGGCGCUGGAGAAUUGAGGGGGGCUGCUCCUAGUACGAGAGGACCGGAGUGGACGCAUCACUGGUGUUCGGGUUGUCAUGCCAAUGGCACUGCCCGGUAGCUAAAUGCGGAAGAGAUAAGUGCUGAAAGCAUCUAAGCACGAAACUUGCCCCGAGAUGAGUUCUCCCUGAGACUUUAAGUCUCCUGAAGGAACGUUGAAGACGACGACGUUGAUAGGCCGGGUGUGUAAGCGCAGCGAUGCGUUGAGCUAACCGGUACUAAUGAACCGUGAGGCUUAACCUU